AGAAUGAAGGUCCUAGUAGACAUGUGCAGAGUAAGAGAAGUUACCAACCUGUAAAAUUUGCAAAGCUAGAUGAAGUAAGAUCCAAACCAAAGUGAAGGUGCAGAUGAAGAUGAUGAUAGGUAUGCACUUAAUGUUAUAAUGUUGGUUGCAUUGCACAAUGUAGUGCAAAUGCCAUUUACUUCGACGUAGGCACCAGCUAUUGGAAAUUAAGAGUGAUUUCUGAUUAAGGAAAUAUUCAAUCAUAAUUUUGGAUGAGGUUCGUGAAAGGAGUUUGAACACUGUCAUACUUAUUGGAAUGCUUUCCCGUGUUAUACAACAAUGCCAGGUGAGAGCUACAGUGGUGUAUUUUUUUGUUAUUUCUUAGCCUUUUCUAUUUGCUUGGUGUAUGAUCUUGUGUUUGAUUGCAUAUAAUAAACAAGGAGCAGCAAUGUGAUAUUAUUUCAGGGCAAAAAAUUAGCCCUGAAAACAUGGUCUUCCCCUCUAAAACUGGUACUGAUCAGUGCUACCUUCGGAGUUGAAAACUUUGUUUUUGGAAGGAGGAUUUUUCGUGAUCCACCACCUGUAAUAGAAGUGCCAACUCGACAAUGUCCUGUAACUAUACACUUCUCUAAGCAAAUAGAGAUUGUGGACUAUAUUGGCCAUGCCUGUAUGAAGAUCUUGGCAAUUCACAGUUAUGUUAGGAUUUUGAUUUUCAGACUAAAAGAGAAUUAUGAAUUUAAUUUCAAAUCAAAUAUAAUUUUG